rnacentral:rRNA from 1 species
ACGGGAGGCAGCAGUGAGGAAUAUUGGUCAAUGGACGAGAGUCUGAACCAGCCAAGUAGCGUGCAGGAUGACGGCCCUCCGGGUUGUAAACUGCUUUUAGUUGGGAAUAAAAAAGGGGACGUGUCCCCUCUUGUAGGUACCGCAAGAAAAAGGACCGGCUAAUUCCGUGCCAGCAGCCGCGGUAAUACGGAAGGUCCGGGCGUUAUCCGGAUUUAUUGGGUUUAAAGGGAGCGCAGGCGGCCUGUUAAGCGUGUGGUGAAAUGUAGUCGCUCAACGUCUGCACUGCCACGCGAACUGGCGGGCUUGGGUGCGGUGAACGCUGGCGGAAUUCGUGGUGUAGCGGUGAAAUGCUUAGAUAUCACGAAGAACUCCGAUUGCGAAGGCAGCUGGCGGUACCGUUACCGACGCUCAUGCUCGAAAGUGUGGGUAUCGAACAGGAUUAGAUACCCUGGUA